rnacentral:lncRNA from 1 species
AANUCCUUCUUUAAUUUAAAUAUGAGAGAAACAGAUACUAUGGUCCGAAGAGAAGCUAAUUGAUGUGUGUACUAUAUGUCCUUUCUAUAGAACAUUAUAAUUAGAAAAUGACUCGGUGGUGGAGUCGUGAAAACGCUUAUUUCUAGAAUUAAAAUUUUAUAUCGAAACACUAUGUAUGGAAGGUAUGAACUCCCUAAACAAGAAUUCUUGAACAACAAACAAUCAGUUCAGAAAUCUACUAAGUACAACAAUUAAGAAAAAACUGUUGCUUUGUUAGCAUGCUUCUGCAGGCUUAAUAGAAACCCAAUAAUUUGGUGCAAAAAGGGUUGAAAAUUUUCUGAUUCGAAACAAUUGAGGAAAAAAUACCUUACAUAGGAACAUUAUUAUGACUCAAGAUCGUUUACAUAAUACUGGACAUAGAGACGCAUAAUAGAUCGAUAUGAACAACAUGUGAGUUGUCUCAUAAUAAAUCUAACUUUUGCUCUGGAUAUUUAUGUAAGUAUGAAAGGUUAAACAAAAAAAGUAAGAUUAUGUGUAAAUAAUAAUACAAUAAAAGUAGUACUAUAUAUACUUUUUAAAGUUCACAGAGAGCAGCCAUCCCUUAUUGUCUGGCCUAUUUAAACCAAAACAUAGACUACCCUACUACUAUUUACAUAUCAAUUCAAAUACUUAUUAUUCAUUCCCAUGGGAAAUGCAUGUUAACAGGUAUAGUAAUUAAGUUAAACUACUUCUCCUCAAAAUUGUUAUGAAUUGCUUAACUAUCAGUGGUAUGUUGAAAGCAACCCCUUUUACCCCUCCCUACUUCUUGCCCUACAAAAAAAAUUACAAAAAGAUUCUUCUUACUAUAAGAUUAAAAUAAUACUUUAAUUAAGAUGAUUAAUUAGCAGAUAUUGGAAUCCAAAUUAGCAUUUAGCAUUGUGGAAUUCUAAUCAAGUUUAAGUAGAAACAUCAAAUGGUAACCAAAGUUUAUAAACAUAACGCUUAAAAAUUUAACGCAGUGAUGAAAUACUAAUGCAAAUUCUAUAAUUUUAUAAAGUAUAUUAGGCUCAUAUAUAGUUAAACAUGAAUGGAUGAAAUCACAGAAAAGAAGAAGCAAUACUUUGAUAAUUUUUUGAGAUUACCUAUGCCUUUAAGCAAUGGGCUUAUCACAAUUUACUAAUCUUAAUACUUCAAUUUAUCAUUAAUGGUACAUGACUAUACAGUAAUUUAACCCCUGAAAUUUAGUUUACUCUCCACAUAGACUUUAAUUAAUUUGGGAUGAAUGAUAAAGGAUUUUACAUAAACACAUGUUAGACACAGCCAUUUUCAUGCAUAUAUAUUAACAGUUCAUUUGCAUUGUCGGGUAUAUAACUUAAAAAUGCAUUCAGCCAAAAAAUCCAUGAUUAUGGGUAAUUUUAUUUAUAAGGUGGGAAUUAACAUUUUUGUCUUUUUAGAUGUUUUUACUCCAAAUGGUGAGAGAGAAAAGAGGUGUUGGGGGUUAAAGGAAAAUGAUUUUUUUCCUCACAUAGUAACAAAAAAAAUUAACUUUUUUCACGGAAAUGUAUGAGAUCAGAGAGAGAGAGAGAGAGAGAGAGAGAGAGCAAAAACAAAGAGGACAAACAAAAUGAACUAUGUANNNNNNNNNNNNNNNUUAACUUUUUUCACGGAAAGAAAUAAUUUGAGGAAUCAGAGAGAGAGAGAGAGAGAGAGAGAGAGAGAGCAAAAACAAAGAGGCAAACAAAAUGAACUAUGUAUCAAUAAUUGAUGAAAACCAGGGAAUCUUCUCUGCCAUUUUCUCUUAGUUUUCACCACUUGAUUGAACUAUCCACAAAUUGAUCAGCCAUAAAAGUCAAGCAAAUAAAAAAAAUUAAAAUAAAAUAUAUCAAAUAAACAUAGCUUCCCAUUAAAUUCACUAAAUAUAUAUAUGAAUGUAGAAAUUGAGAAAAUCCAAAAUUUUCUCCUUUUACAUUUUUCAAGAAGUAAUAGAAGAAAAAAAUUAUGACAGGCUUCCAUAGCUUAAAUAUACAAAAGUUAAAGAAAAAUGUGGAUCUAGUUUUUCAUAACUAAUCAUAAAAAUUCAAUUAAAACCCAUAAUUCUUCUCUAAAUUUGAAUUUGCUAUAUAUAAGUGUUAUAGGUACUCAGAGAAUUCACAUAAAGUAUGCCAAAUUAUGGAGUCGUUUAACUCAUGAGCAAUUUAAAGAGGAAAAAAGAGAGAGGAAACUAUAAGGCAAUUUUAAAGAAUUUACCAUGAAAAUGCAGAUCUCUUCAACUCCAUAUAUGGAAACAAAAGUCCUAAGCUUGUCAUCUUUUCCCACAGCUUUCUUGGACUUACAGAGCUUUAAAUCUCAUCUCUCAAAUUAAAACUACCCACAAUUGCCUAAAGAGAGAUCAAAAUUCAGCUAGAAGAAGUUCAAGAAAGCUGUGGAAAAGCAUGACUAGGACUUCGUCGGAAUUGAGCCGAGCGUCGGAAAUAAACUUUCUACCUUCACAAGGUAGCUAUAAGGUCUGCGUACACACUACCAUCCUGAAACCCUAUUUAUGGGACUACGCUCGGUAUAUUGUUGCUGUUGAGAAAGAGGAAGAGGAAGAAGGAAUUUUAGAAGAAAAAACAGUAGAUAAAGAGAGAGGGAAAUGGAGAGAAUGGUGAAGUGAGAAGAGAGAAUUGAGGUAAUGAAACAAAUGUGUAGAAUGACCACAGUAACAUAUAUAAUUUGUGAAACCAGCUUUAUAGAUGGGGGAAGAAAGUAGGGUUCAUU